ACUGUCGACUUUAUACUUUUUACGAUUUACGCGUGCACAGUAAAACUUACUGUCCCGUUAUUGUUUUUAUUUCUUAAGAAAAUCAGUGAAAACCGAAUAACCAAUCAAAUAACCCAUAAACCUACCAAAAUAAUUGGAUUUGCUUACAAAAAAUAUCAAUAAAUUUGUAUCAGUCCAUUUUUUAGGGAAGAAAGCGAAAGAAAAAUUAGUUUACAUAUUAUUCCUGAUCUAGAACUACAUCUAUUCAACGUUUCAACUCGGAUUGUAAGAAAUAUUUUUGGAUCGGAGGGGUAACAAACACUCCCCAUCCAAAAGAAACUUUUGAAUUUAUAAUAUUAAUAAGAUAGGAUGGGUAGCUACUAAUAGAAUGCAUUUGUUCUUAGUAAACUGCAACAUUUUAUGGACAACAAUUGCUGAAUACGUUAGUUUAUUCACCACGUAACGAUUGUAAUAAAAAAACGGAACAGAGAAUAUUUUUCCGAUGCGUUAACCAGGUGACUUUCACACACCGUAACUCCGGUUUAACUAAAACUAAUAUUUUACAAUUCAAAUAAGAUAAACGCGCUACGUAAUUAAUUGUGUUACGUUAAAAUAUACCGCACGGUUUCGAUUUUAAAUUUUCUAAUCAAUUAAACCAGAAAUCCUUCUAUACACGAUACGGUUACGGAUGUUAUGCUCGUUAAACAGCGGAAAUAGGAAAUUACGCGUUUCUCCCCAAACGCU